CAUCAACGAUGGAAGCUUGAGCAGUGUUCUUCAAGUGAAGAAGACUGAAAUCGAUCAGUCUUGACAUGGAUAAGCUGAUAGAGACGUCAUUAAUAUUUUGAAAGGAUUCAGCGACGAAUGGAAUAUUCCGUUCCAUCCCCUGACGCCUCCAGUGAAACAACGAAUCAAUAGUGAGCGCAGUUGAUGCAGCGACGGGCAAGGACAGGCAAGUGACAUAAGGUAAUGGCGUUAAAUUGAUACUGCCCAUGGCAAUCGUCAGGCGAACAGUUACUAUAACUGUUAGAUACUUAUACCGCUUUGGAGUACUAAUUGGUCAGACUCGUGUUACGGACUAAGUAAUUGUCAUUGGUUGCUGUUAAGUAUUUCGGGAUCCACAGUUUGGCAAAGAGAUAUCUUCAGUUGGGUCUUCCCCGAAUGGAAUACUAAAGAUUAAAGAUAAAGACAUCAGUUUUGUCAGGAGUAUUUCACAUCUAUAUCGAAAGGACUGUUUCUCAUGGAUAACUGAGGUGUCUCUUAUUUAUUGGUUUACAAGACUUGAGCGAGUGACGGAACAUUCCAUCCCCAUUGCCCCCGGUGAAGGUAGAUAGGAUAGGUUUAGAAGAGGAAGCAGUCGGUCUAAUGGUAUCACGAGGAAAGCGACGAAAAGAUUCAUGGGAACAUCACUAAUGGCUUCAAAGUCGCAUGGCUACCGACAAACAGUACCGGACGCUUAGAGGACCUCUGCUUACCCCGUGUUAUAUCGGAUGACGUAAAACUUAUAGGAGCCAACUGAGACCCAUAGUGUUAAGAAUCGACAUGCCCGUACCAUCCUCAUUCUACAACGAGCAGUUACAGCAGCCCGUUAUAACACACCUCUGCAUUCUACAGUCGUGAUUAUAUACUUCGAUAUAAAAUUACGACACUUCUCCAACAUAAUUAUAGUUGGGUCAAUUCAUUGCAAUAUAAUCGUGAGAAGAAAGGAUUACAUUUGUAAAUGUCAUAACCUUGCACCUGCAUUAUACCUGAUACUUCGGAUAUAUAAUCGACACUACAGCCUUUGACCGAAUGAAGAGUAUUUUGCUAUUGAUACAAAUCAUGUAAUGUUGUCAUAAAAUUGCUUCAUUGAUGAUUGGUGAUAUAAAACUGCUAUUGAGUGGAUAUGGGAAAACACUGGACACGAUUAUUUAUGCUUUAUAGGUCGUUUGUGUCUACAGAUAACCUCCGCUGACCGAAAAUUCAUUUUGCCAGGAACUAGGAGUAACAUGAAGAACAGCCCAAAGUGAUAUGGGCAACAGGACUAACGCAUUCAUCAAAGAUACAGGAUGUUUUCGUAUUUGGACGACAUGACAGCCCAACAGACAUAAUCGAGUGUUUUCAAUAGAUAUUUCGCGUUUUUCUUUAGCUUUUAGAUAUAUUAGUUAGUUUUCUUUUUCUUUUUCUUUUUCUUUUUAAUCGCCAUUUUUAGUAUAACAUUCGAUGCAUACAUCGUUCGGAAUGUUUUCUACAGUGAAUGUCAAGCUACGUCCUAACCAGGUUCAGUCCUUUAGGUCGUCGUUUUUACAGUCGGAUUUUUCACACAGCGAUGGACGUGUGCCCAAGGGAGUGUUCUGGGGUGGUAUUAUUCAAAUCUUUGUAGGAUGUGGAUUGAUAGCAAAUGCAGUCAUGAUAAACUUGUAUUCGGCCUGGGGGUACUUUAUUGGAGGCGGUUACUGGGCCUCGGUCUCAAUAAUCGUGGCUGGAUCUCUUGGUGUUCAGUCGUUUAGAUACCCAAGCAAUAAAGCGAAAAAAUGGACUAGGAUUUUAUCAAUGAUUAAUAUAUGCAUCUUGUAUAUAUUCAUAUUGUGCCUUGCAGUAAUUGGUAUAACUAUAGACUCGAACGAGGCAAAUGCUUCCACAAAACUGACACUUCAUUACACGUACACUGGGUUGGGGUUAGUAGGAAUAUUUGUGGCUAUCAUAACUUUGCAGAACCCAAAACCACACCAGCGUUCACGGAGUCACGAGGUGCCACCGACCAAAGACGAUUCUUUGGACACUUCGGAGGAGCAUCUUCCGACUAAUCACAAUUAUCACACUCCUCCAGAUCCCUACGCGAACUUUGUAGUGGCGCCAUCUAAAUCCACGAAAUGCUGACGACAGGAUACGUUUCAGCUUCAGGGAAUGGCAUUUGGUGGUGAUGAUCAUUCCGGAGGGAGUAUUUAUUAACUGGUAACGUGAUUUUAAAUGCCAGCAAAUCAUAUUUUAGGAGUUGAUAUCGUUUCAAACCGUAAACAAAGGAUUUUGUGUUGUGGUAAUGCACUGCAGUAUCUACGUGAGGGUCCGUUGCAAGGGAAUUAUGAAUCGUUUAAUACAGUGAUCAGAGUUUAUUUCUCGACUGAUCGGGAUGUCUGGAAUCUCUUUUUGGAGGCUGAUUGAGAUGUAUAUGAUAAAAGCGACGGGCCCAUUGUGAACAUGUGAGAUGACCUUAUAAUCUUGAUGUACGCCCCUCAGUACUUCUUUUGCCAUGUUUUACAAUGACAGUUUAUGACAGAAUACCUUUCUCGCCGAAGAAAGGCAACGACUUUGCGGGAGACUCCAACAUAAUACGUGACAGAUCUCACUUUUUAUACUCUGUGUGCUAUAUAAUGUUUUGUAAUGACUUGAAAUUGGUUAAUGAACAAUGCAUUUAUUCUUUUUAUCCAUCUAUACAUUGACUUUGACGGGUCGCGAAGCUAUAUUGUACAAAAUACACGGAUACUUUUCAAAUUAUUACCUAACACUUUCUCUUGGCGACGCAUGUAUGUUGCACUAUGCUUAUACUGAAAUUUGCCUCUUAAUUUCGGUGUCUACUAGUGUGAAAGUUGGGAACCUUGUUCACCAUCAUGAUACUGGCAUUAUCAAUACACCUCUCAAAAACUUAUGGCAGCGUGACGGCAUAGGCGCAGAAAUCAACAAAUAGGCAACUUUCAAUUCAGGACCGCUGCAAAGCCGCGCUUAGCGUAAAUCAUGUUCAGAAUUGCAAGAGUUUCCGUUAGUCAUUAGUUUGGUCUUGAAAUCGGAGGUGGAGCAGUUUCGAGCACUCAGCUGUGAGGUUCCCUAUAUCUUUUGAAUCCGCAUCCAACUGGGCAUCUGGUUUAAUUUGCCAUCCAUAAUGCGUACACUGGUAUGAUGAGGUGAUAACACGUUUCUUGUUUUGCCCCUAAGAUUUGGACCGGUAAAAGAUUGAAAUAGAACACAGUAGAAUGAGGACAAACGUGGUAGAAGUACUACAUGCUAUGAGCAGUUUUGUUUUUUUUAUUGCAUGAAAGCAUGUUUUAAGACAAUGCAAUUUCAUCAUUCUCAUUAAAAUAGAUCAUCAACAAUAUCAUCGUCAUGGGUCAUCGACGCGUUGUCAUGGUUGUGAUCAUCGGCACAUCAUAAUCAUUAGAACCAUCAUCAUUAUCAUCAUCGUCGUCACUGACAUCAUAUUCAUCAUCUUCAUCCUCUUCCUUGUCAUUCUAAUCGUACUCACCAUAAUCGUCAUCGGCAUUAUUAUCCUCAUCAUCAUCGUCAUCAUAAUCAUAAUCAUCAUCAUCGUCAUUCACAUUAUAACCAUCAUUGUCGUCGUCGUCGUCUUCGUCGUCUUCGUCAUCAUCAUCAUCAUCAUCAUCGUCAUCAUCAUCAUCAGCAGCAGCAGCGUCACCUUCAUCAUCAUCAUCGUCAUCGUCAUCGUCGUCAUCAUCAUCAUUAUCAUCAUUAUCAUCAUCAUCAUCAUCAUCAUCAUAAUCAUCAUCAUCAUCAUCAUCAUGAUUAGUAUCAACACUGCUCAUAAACGUUUUAUUGGGGUUUACGUCUGAUAUCAACUGCUUCAUCGGAAAUGUAGCCUACGUCUGGUAUUGAUUGUUACCUAAUAAGUUAUUUAUACGCCUAUUUCGUUACGCUAUUAAAGGAUGUGUGGUAUCGAGAAAUCUUUAUAUUCUAAAGGGACCGCUAAAUAUAACAGCGAUUAGUUAUGUGAUAAUAUGUGUGAUCGAGGUACACUGUACUGUAUGUGUCACAUCUAACGCGGAAAACACUUGGAUUUGUAAUACGAGCCAAUAUCGAGAGCAUUAUGUUUUUAUGCUUUCAAUAAGCAUUGUAUUUCUGGCUAUUGUAUCUGUUAAUUGUUUAUGCCGGACUAAAAUGAAUCGGCCCUUUUGACACAUAUUUGCUUUGUCCUUGUAUCAUUAACAUGUAAAUACUACAGUUUUGAUUAUAAUGUAC